GUGGGGAAUUUUGGACAAUGGGCGCAAGCCUGAUCCAGCAAUGCCGCGUGCAGGAAGAAGGCCUUCGGGUUGUAAACUGCUUUUGUACGGAACGAAACGGUCCGGGUUAAUACCCUGGGCUAAUGACGGUACCGUAAGAAUAAGCACCGGCUAACUACGUGCCAGCAGCCGCGGUAAUACGUAGGGUGCAAGCGUUAAUCGGAAUUACUGGGCGUAAAGCGUGCGCAGGCGGCUUUGUAAGACGGAUGUGAAAGCCCCGGGCUCAACCUGGGAAGUGCAUUCGUGACUGCAAGGCUAGAGUGUGUCAGAGGGAGGUGGAAUUCCGCGUGUAGCAGUGAAAUGCGUAGAGAUGCGGAGGAACACUGAUGGCGAAGGCAAUCCCCUGGACCUGUACUGACGCUCAUGCACGAAAGCGUGGGGAGCAAACAGGAUUAGAAACCCCAGUAGUCC
rnacentral:rRNA from 1 species